AGAUGUGGCAUUGUGCCACUUGCAAUACUUCAUCUUCUUGAGCUGCUCGGCCAACGGAAUUGUGUUGUAGGGUGAGAGCUUGAUUUGUCCCUUUUGUAGCAGCAAGUCGAAGAUCUUAUUGGCCUUAGAUGUGUCAAAACCAAACGUUUCCGGUUCCUUUUUACCAAAUGGGCAUGAUAUUGGCUUUUUCCCUUUUACCCAUUCUGCUGGGCUGAUUUCUGCUUCCUCUUCCGAUUCGGACCCUUCCAUGUACGCCACCUUUUUCUGAAAAUUUCUUUGUUGGUCAAAGGGGCACAGUUCUUGGCCGGAUAAAUGGUGAACAAUUUGGCUCAAACUUUCGAACUCCUAGGAAGCGUAUUUUUCUUUGAUGUGCGGUAGGAGUUCCUGGAAAGCUAUGUCAGCCAAUUGGGCGUUGGUCAAAACCAGGCUAUAGCACUUGCUCCUUACCUCUCUGAUCCUCUGUAUGUAGCUGAUCACCAACUUGUCGCUUCUCUAUUUGAGGCCAGUUAAAUCUGAGAGUUUCAUCUCGUGGACCCCCG
rnacentral:lncRNA from 1 species